ensembl:lncRNA
AUGUCGAUAUCAAUGGUGUGUGUGUGUGUGUGUGUGUGUGUGUGUGUGUGUGUGUGUGUGUGUGUGUGUGUGUGUCCUUCAGGAGCCCAGAGCAGGUGGAGUGUGUCAUUUUCGAGGAGGGAGAUCUGUGUGUGGUCUGGAACCACCGUCACUUUGCCCUGUCGCUAUGACUACCCAUCAGGCCACACGAUGAAGCGGGUCAUGUGGUUCCGUGUGUCCGUGGACGGUCACAGAGAGUUCACCCACCACUCGGACCCAGACCAAGUCAGCCUGUCCUACAGGGGGCGCACACGGUACAAAUACAGUGCUCAAAACCAGGCAAUGUGUAUAUAAGGCCCAUUUCAAUAAUCCAGUGUUGACUAAGGAUCUGCUGUUUGGAUCAAAGAAUCAAUUGUAGUCAAAACAACUUAUAAAAGCCGGGGUUAACUACAGAAUAUUAGUGUAUGUGGACAAACACCCAAAAAUAAAAGAGUUAGAGUCAAACAAAGAACACUCAAGACCGGAACAUUUCUGAAUGAAUCAUUGACAAUCAGCUGAAUACGUAACACAAUCUCCCCUGGGUCCCCAGCUACAUAGGGGGGAGCUACUCCAGCUGUUCGGUCCAGAUCAAGGCUGUUAGGCUGACUGACGCGGGACAGUACCACUUCAGGUUUGAGACGGACCAGCCCAAUGGGAGAUGGACCUCCCCUGACACAGUCUCCCUCACCGUCACAGGUUGGCCUCAGGUUCAUCACAGAGACACUCCGUGUUAAAGGUGCAGUCGCUGGAGAGAUGAAGAGUGGGAAAGUGUACCAUUUUGAAAAACUUUCCCUCCCCUCUGUUCCAUAUGUUUCGCUGCCAUUGAGAAGUUUUGCAUUACACACACCUGUGAGUGAAAGGCAAGAGAGAUAUGUCAAACCAAUCAUGGAUUGGUCUCGGAUUUGCCUAUAAUCAAAAUGGGCCGAUACCGAGGCGGGCGCUGUCAUCUCUGAACAGAUACUCCCUCCGCGCAUUUCCCUCCCUGAUGGAUGUCUGUGCCAUUUCUAACAAUCACGCCCACGUUAAGGGCCCAUUUCUACCCCUUAACCCUUUCCCUUACCCCUCCCCCUUGUUUUGAAGGGGUAAAGUGAAGGGGUAAGGGGGAGGGGUAAGGGGAAGGAGUAAGGGGAAGAAAUGGGAUUGGGCCCAAGGCCCAAUCCCAUUUCUACCCCUUCCCCCUUCCCCUUACCCCUUCAAAACAAGGGGGAGGGGUAAGGGGAAGGGGUAAGGGGUAGAAAUGGGAUUGGGCCUAAGGCUCUUGAAUCAAACCUACCUUUUUGCUAUUAAGGAGCUGAGAUCACUUUUAGGUCUGCACGUUCAGGGUCCAAACUUCUCUGUGAAUGUCGUGCUGUUGAAAGUAGUUUGAAACGGGUCGCUUUUCACUCACUUUAUUUGUUAAAGUAUUUCGGUAUGGUAACUAUGAAGCAAAAGGGAGGGAAUUGUAUCAAACACUUCGAACCCGGGCUUAGGCCCGAGGCUCUCUGCGGGGCGCCUAUGAGUCUCUGACCUCCUCCGGGCUCUGCAAAUGGACCAAGUAGGCGGGGCCUAUGUGAAGUGGGCGUGGCCUAUGUGACGUCUUAGCUGCGGUUUCCUCGUCUGUCUUAAAGAUGCUGCCUUCUGUGGCUGGGGUAGAUAUUACAGCUUGUAUGUUUGCUCCUGCUCCCUUGUGGCUGUGUGGGGGCAAUACAGCUUGUGUGGUCGAUCCUGCUUCCUAGUGGCUAUGUGGGAGCAGCUUAUGUGCCUAAAAUACAUAACAUUAACAAGUGUUGCGUAAUUGUAUUUGUAUACAAGCGUAUCUUGACAUUUCAAGUUAAAUCCUGAUUGAUUCCUUUCAGUUCAUGAAGUGUUUGCGUUCCAGACCUGCAAGUCCAAGUGC